UUAUUACUCCCUCCGACCCAUAUUACUUGUCGAUAUAUUACAUGUAUCUAGACGCUUUUUAAACAUGAUACAUUCAUAUUUGGGCAAAUUUGAGACAAGUAAUAUGGGUCGGAGGGAGUAGUAA
rfam:Brachypodium distachyon strain Bd21 chromosome 2, whole genome shotgun sequence.